rnacentral:rRNA from 1 species
CCUANGGGAGGCAGCAGUGGGGAAUAUUGCGCAAUGGGGGAAACCCUGACGCAGCGACGCCGUGUGAGUGAUGAAGGCUUUCGGGUCGUAAAGCUCUGUCGGAUGGGACGAAUAAGGACUGUGUGAAUAAUGCAGUCCGAUGACGGUACCGUCGAAGGAAGCACCGGCUAACUCCGUGCCAGCAGCCGCGGUAAUACGGAGGGUGCAAGCGUUGUUCGGAAUUAUUGGGCGUAAAGAACGUGUAGGCGGGUCUGUGUGUCAGAUGUGAAAGCCCUCGGCUCAACCGAGGAAGUGCAUCUGAAACUGCAGGUCUUGAGUACGAGAGAGGAGAGUGGAAUUCCCAGUGUAGAGGUGAAAUUCAUAGAUAUUGGGAAGAACACCGGCGGCGAAAGCGGCUCUCUGGCUCGAUACUGACGCUGAGACGUGAAAGCGUGGGUAGCAAACAGGAUUAGAUACCCGANUANUC